UUUUGGAGAGCUGGACAUGUGGAGGCCGACAGGAAGGUGAAGAAGUCAUCUGCGUGCUGUGAGGGUGGCGCACCCCAACUCCAUGGGGACAGAAGGUCCUGCAUUUAGGACCCUUCCAGACCUCACACCUAUGUAUCUCUUCAUCUGGCUGAUUACUUAUAUCCUUUCAAAGACGCUUCUUAGUAAACUGUGCCUCCCUCACAUGGCCAGCGGAGAAGGGCCUUGCCCUACCUCUCAGACUGCAGCCCUGAGCCACUCCUUGGAGGUGAGGAGCACCAUUCACCUGAGCAGCUCCCCGCCCUGGUGUCUGAGAAAUAAAUCUGCCUUCAGUCAUACGGUUCUACCAAUCUGAGCACACGACCACCUGAUAGGGUACUGAGGAUGGCUUCUGACCUGGAGGCAUCAAGGACCUGAAGGCAGUAACCAUUUCAGAGGACAGCCACAUCCCUCAAAUUACAAACAUCUAAAAUGUCCAUUAACUGUUGAGUGGAUAUAUAAAUUCUGAUGUUUUAUAAAAUGGCAUACCCUACAUCAAUGAAGAUGAAUGAAUUACUUCUGCAUAAAACAAUAUACAUGCAUCUAACCAAUAUGACACUGAGUGAAAAAAGACAUCCAUAGAAGAGCACAGCUCACCAUUCAGGAGAGAAGAAAUUCAAAUGAAAAUGUUAUGAAAAUAUCCAAAGACUAAAAAUCCACUGCUAUCACUGAAUCUAGGAUGAAUGCUUUUUGGAGCUAUCAAUUUGUGAAAAUUGUAAGAUAACUUAUUUUAUUAAAGAUCAUUUUUA
rnacentral:lncRNA from 1 species